CUUGACCGAACCCAGCCACAACGGCCCCUCCGAGCGUUCCUGGCCGUAGGUCGCCAGCAACGCCUGAGCUUC
rnacentral:antisense_RNA from 1 species